rnacentral:rRNA from 1 species
CAGGUCACUCCUACGGGAGGCAGCAGUAGGGAAUCUUGCGCAAUGGGCGAAAGCCUGACGCAGCCAUGCCGCGUGAAUGAUGAAGGUCUUAGGAUUGUAAAAUUCUUUCACCGGGGAAGAUAAUGACGGUACCCGGAGAAGAAGCCCCGGCUAACUUCGUGCCAGCAGCCGCGGUAAUACGAAGGGGGCUAGCGUUGCUCGGAAUUACUGGGCGUAAAGGGCGCGUAGGCGGAUACUUAAGUUGGGGGUGAAAGCCCGGGGCUCAACCUCGGAAUUGCCUUCAAUACUGGGUAUCUUGAGUUCGGGAGAGGUGAGUGGAAUGCCGAGUGUAGAGGUGAAAUUCGUAGAUAUUCGGCGGAACACCAGUGGCGAAGGCGACUCACUGGCCCGAUACUGACGCUGAGGCGCGAAAGCGUGGGGAGCAAACAGGAUUAGAUACCCUGGUAGUCCACGCUGUAAACGAUGAGUGCUAGUUGUCGGCAUGCAUGCAUGUCGGUGACGCAGCUAACGCAUUAAGCACUCCGCCUGGGGAGUACGGUCGCAAGAUUAAAACUCAAAGGAAUUGACG